rnacentral:rRNA from 1 species
UACGGGGGGGGCAAGCGUUGUUCGGAUUUACUGGGCGUAAAGGGCGCGUAGGCGGUUCGUUAAGUCGGAUGUGAAAACUCUGGGCUCAACCCAGAGCCUGCAUCCGAUACUGACGGGCUAGAGUGCGAGAGGGGAAAGCGGAAUUCCUGGUGUAGCGGUGAAAUGCGUAGAUAUCAGGAGGAACACCGGCGGCGAAGGCGGCUUUCUGGAUCGCAACUGACGCUGAGGCGCGAAAGCUAGGGGAGCAAACAGG